rnacentral:rRNA from 1 species
GACGAACGCUGGCGGCGUGCCUAAUACAUGCAAGUCGGACGGACCGGCCGAGGGCUUGCUCUUGUUUGGUGAGCGGAAGACGGGUGUGUAACACGUGGGCAACCUGCCCGCAAGACCGGGAUCACUACGGGACACCGGCGCUAAUCCCGUAUAACACCGUAGACCGCAUGGUCUUCGGGUGAAAGGCGGCCUUUGGGCUGUGACUUGCGGAUUGUCACGCGGCGCGUGGGCUAGUUGGUGAGGUAACUGCUCACGUAGGCGAGGAGGCGGAGCCGGACUGGUUGGGUGACCGGCCACACUGGGAGUGAGACCCGGCCCAGACGCCUACGGGAGGCAGCAGGAGGGAAUCGUGCGCAAUGGGCGAAAGCCUGACGAAGCGACGCGGCGUCAGGGAAGAAGGCCGCCGGGUCGGAAAGCACGGCUGUGGGGGACGAAGGAGCUCCGUCCGAAGACGGCGCCUGAGUGACGGUAACUCAUGAGAAAGCACCGGCUAACUACGUG